GGUGUGGUUGAGACAGAGUCUCACUCAGUAUCAUUCCUUAGACCAGGGCUGGCCUGGAGAGCACUGUCUACCCCAAGCUGGUCUUAGACUCAGCAUUCUCCUGCCUCAUUCAUUCGUCCAAAUUCUGAGAUUACAGGCAUGAACAGCCUUGGCUUUGUGAUGCUACGAACCUUUCUGCUCCGGCACCACGGACAGUUAAGUUCUCUAAGAAGUGGCUUUGCUUCUUCCUCCUUGGUGUUGAGUGUUGGCAUUCCCCACUCUUGCUUUAUUCUGUCAGUGGGAGCUGGAACAUUCCAGAAGCAGCGCUGAUAUUCAGUUAUUCCGAUACUUGCAGAAACCGCUCUCCUUCUCCCUCAUACUCCCCGGAUAACCCUCCUCAUUCGUCUGAGCCUCCACUCUUUAGAUAGGCUAUGGCGUCUGUCAAGCCCGUGGCUGGAAGAUGGCAGAUAUUCCAGAAUGGUUAUAAAUGCAGCCCAGAACACCUGAGAGCACAGGACCAUGCUUAUACUCGCUACAGUAGACUUGUGGGAGUCAGGUCACUUCCUUCACAAGAAGUCAGGUUGGGUGGCCUUGGGACGUUGCACUUGCUGCUGCCUCUGCUUGGAAUGUACCCUGGCCUCCAAAGUCUCAAGUUCAGUGCUCUCCUCUGCUUCUGAUACAUUAGUGUGGCCUGGAGCCCCACGCCCUCCCCACUGCUCUUCCUCACAUCCCUUGUAUUACAAUAUUAAAUAAUGUAAUUUAGCACAGUC